rnacentral:rRNA from 1 species
AUUGAACGCUGGCGGCAGGCCUAACACAUGCAAGUCGAGCGAGCGGCGGACGGGUGAGUAAUGUCUGGGAAACUGCCUGAUGGAGGGGGAUAACUACUGGAAACGGUAGCUAAUACCGCAUACCAUCAGAUGUGCCCAGAGGGGAGUUGCUAGUAGGGGGGGUAACGGGUCACCUAGGCGACGAUCCCUAGCUGGUCUGAGAGGAUGACCAGCAACACGGGAACUGAGCCACGGUCCAGACGCCUACGGGAGGCAGCAGUGGGGAAUAUGGCAGAAUGGGCGCAAGCCUGAUGCAGCCAUGCCGCGUGUAUGAAGAAGGCCUUCGGGUUGUAAAGUACUUGCAGCGGGGAGGCGUUACCCGCAGAAGAAGCACCGGCUAACUCCGUGCCAGCAGCCGCGGUAAUUC